rnacentral:lncRNA from 1 species
UUUCAGAGGCCUAUUGCCACAUUUGGGGCAAUGCGUACGUAUGUGGUUUCGUUAGCUCCAGCGGAGGCUAAUCCUCUGAUAGAGCCACCUCUCACACGAAACACUGAAUGGAGGCAAUCCCAAGACGGAUGGAGCAGCGGCAGCGCAGGUUGCUGCAGCUGUGCUGCCAGAGAUUGUAAUUCAGGAACCAAUCUCAAGCUGAGCAGAGGAAAAAAUGAGAUUCUUCAUGAAAAUGGCCAAAUGUCAUCACCAGCUAUUUUGUGAGACGAGCUAUGUUAGGAGCCAUCCACAUGUAAAAUGGACUUUCACCAAAUUCCAUCCAUCUGCAGGUCAUGGAAGCUCACAACAUGUAUGUCUCCUGAGGGAGCCUUUUCUUUUUGUGCUUUUUCUGGCACUAAGAAAUACAGACACUUGUGAUUUACUACUGGGCACUUAUAGGAAUGGAGUCAACUAUUUCCUAAGAAACUCAAAGGCUGAAAUGAGAAAUUCAGAAAAUAAAAAUAUUUUCUGUGUUAGAAAACUAUAUACCAGAAAGCCUGAAAAGUGAGGGAAAGGGCACAGAAAUUCUGGUUAAUAAGAUGUUGUAGAUUAGUGAGAACUUGAACAUGUUUUUGCUUCCAGUAUAUUUUUUGGAAUUUCUAAACUAUAUUAGUUCCAUUUCUUGCCUUAGGAAUUACAGUAUUGUGAUCAUGUGAGAAAAGAUAGUUCUAAAUAUUAAUAAAUAUUUUUAACUUCAUCAAAAACAUCU